rnacentral:rRNA from 1 species
CCUACGGGGGGCUGCAGUGGGGAAUAUUGGACAAUGGGGGGAACCCUGAUCCAGCCAUGCCGCGUGUGUGAAGAAGGCCCUCGGGUUGUAAAGCACUUUCAGUGAGGAAGAACGCCUGGUGGUUAAUACCCAUCAGGAAAGACAUCACUCACAGAAGAAGCACCGGCUAACUCCGUGCCAGCAGCCGCGGUAAUACGGAGGGUGCGAGCGUUAAUCGGAAUUACUGGGCGUAAAGCGCGCGUAGGUGGCUUGAUAAGCCGGUUGUGAAAGCCCCGGGCUCAACCUGGGAACGGCAUCCGGAACUGUCAAGCUAGAGUGCAGGAGAGGAAGGUUGAAUUCCCGGUGUAGCGGUGAAAUGCGUAGAGAUCGGGAGGAAUACCAGUGGCGAAGGCGGCCUUCUGGACUGACACUGACACUGAGGUGCGAAAGCGUGGGUAGCAAACAGGAUUAGAUACCCGAGUAGUC